rnacentral:rRNA from 1 species
GACGUGCUAAUCUGCGAUAAGCGUCGGUAAGGUGAUAUGAACCGUUAUAACCGGCGAUUUCCGAAUGGGGAAACCCAGUGUGAUUCGUCACACUAUCAUUAACUGAAUCCAUAGGUUAAUGAGGCGAACCGGGGGAACUGAAACAUCUAAGUACCCCGAGGAAAAGAAAUCAACCGAGAUUCCCCCAGUAGCGGCGAGCGAACGGGGAGCAGCCCAGAGCCUGAAUCAGUGUGUGUGUUAGUGGAAGCGUCUGGAAAGGCGUGCGAUACAGGGUGACAGCCCCGUACACAAAAAUGCACAUACUGUGAGCUCGAUGAGUAGGGCGGGACACGUGGUAUCCUGUCUGAAUAUGGGGGGACCAUCCUCCAAGGCUAAAUACUCCUGACUGACCGAUAGUGAACCAGUACCGUGAGGGAAAGGCGAAAAGAACCCCGGCGAGGGGAGUGAAAAAGAACCUGAAACCGUGUACGUACAAGCAGUGGGAGCACGCUUAGGCGUGUGACUGCGUACCUUUUGUAUAAUGGGUCAGCGACUUAUAUUCUGUAGCAAGGUUAACCGAAUAGGGGAGCCGAAGGGAAACCGAGUCUUAACUGGGCGUUAAGUUGCAGGGUAUAGACCCGAAACCCGGUGAUCUAGCCAUGGGCAGGUUGAAGGUUGGGUAACACUAACUGGAGGACCGAACCGACUAAUGUUGAAAAAUUAGCGGAUGACUUGUGGCUGGGGGUGAAAGGCCAAUCAAACCGGGAGAUAGCUGGUUCUCCCCGAAAGCUAUUUAGGUAGCGCCUCGUGAAUUCAUCUCCGGGGGUAGAGCACUGUUUCGGCAAGGGGGUCAUCCCGACUUACCAACCCGAUGCAAACUGCGAAUACCGGAGAAUGUUAUCACGGGAGACACACGGCGGGUGCUAACGUCCGUCGUGAAGAGGGAAACAACCCAGACCGCCAGCUAAGGUCCCAAAGUCAUGGUUAAGUGGGAAACGAUGUGGGAAGGCCCAGACAGCCAGGAUGUUGGCUUAGAAGCAGCCAUCAUUUAAAGAAAGCGUAAUAGCUCACUGGUCGAGUCGGCCUGCGCGGAAGAUGUAACGGGGCUAAACCAUGCACCGAAGCUGCGGCAGCGACGCUUAUGCGUUGUUGGGUAGGGGAGCGUUCUGUAAGCCUGUGAAGGUGUGCUGUGAGGUAUGCUGGAGGUAUCAGAAGUGCGAAUGCUGACAUAAGUAACGAUAAAGCGGGUGAAAAGCCCGCUCGCCGGAAGACCAAGGGUUCCUGUCCAACGUUAAUCGGGG